rnacentral:lncRNA from 1 species
CUCUAUUGCACUCCCUAAAUAGGGUUCUUUUCACCUUUCCCUCACGGUACUUGUACGCUAUCGGUAAUUAAGGAAUACUUAGGCUUAGAGGGUGGUCCCCCUUUCUCGCGUAAAAGCGAUCAGAAUUCGAACACGCCGCGUUUUACUGGGAAGGAUCGAACCAUGGGAACGAAUCUACAGGGCUAUCACCUUCUUUGGCCAGAUCUUCCAACCUUUUCACAAUUACAGUUCACAGCGCCCUUGACUAAACUAAUCUAAUAGAAAGUCAAGGGGCUUGAAAGCUUACCUGAUUAUUAGAGAAAGGUUUGGAACCCUAGUUUUGGAGUUUUCGCCCGGUUAGCCACCGGAGGCAAGCGUUAGACCGUAGCUUGCUGCUGAAAAACGUAAUAGGCUAGCGCAGCUCGCUUCGCUCUUCAAGCUCCGCCCCCCUUACUCAACGUCUUCAUCUAUAAAGAAAGCCCUUUCUCCAGAAGAGAAGAAGGUAAGCUUUCAAGCCGUAGCUUGCUGGUUUUUCCAUCAUCCAAUCAAAAAAGAAAGAGAAUGAAACCUGGCGAAAAAGAAAUGAACACUUUGCUGAGGAACGAAGCUUCGUCUUUGUUUUUCUUCAAAGCCCCAAUCCGCUCUCGCUCGCCGCUACUAACGGGGUCUCGGUUGAUUUCCCUUCCUUUAGCUACUUAGAUGUUUCAGUUCGCUAAGUUUGAAAAGUCCAAAGAGCGCAGACUAGCCAUGGAGCUUGGAUAUGGUUUCUCGAUCGGAGAUCCAUGGAUCACAGACGGUAUCUCCCCAUGGCCUUUCACCUCUGAAAGCGUCCUUCCUUCUCAAUGCCCGGGCAUCCAUCCAAUGCAUUCUUUUCGAUCUUGUACCCACGGAGCAGUAUACUGAACACGAACCCAAUCGAGACAAAAAAAAGAAAGAAUAGCAACUACAUCAACAACCUUGAUUCCUGACGUGAACGACCGCUUUCUUGGAACUAAUUCAUAGGCGCUUGAAAUUCGUUAUAGAACUAACACUAUAUAAACAAAUAUAACAAGUGUGCAAUACGCAGCAUCAACCAACGGAAAAACGUAGUCACGGACUGUGCUAUAAUGCACCCCAAAAAGGGAAGAGCUCCUUCUCAAUCCCAUUCGUACCAUGUCUACUUCUUNGGCGUACAACCUACGGGCUUCUUAGACAAAAGAAAAACAAGAAAAAAUACACCCUAGCCCUACCUGGGUCUUUAGAGUAAUACCGCUGUCUGUCCCCUGGAGGUUAUCCUAAACCAUUUUCUAGGGGAGAAAUACUGGCUCAGGGUAAAGGCAGCCCCCCGUCGGGUAAAAUCCCAUAAUGCCUGUCCCAAGGCCGAAGAAACAUGGCUCUGUGCCUUGUUCCUCUCAUGGUCUGGGUUGAGUCUAGUAUUUCUGUGGGUAAAGGCACCUCAUAUACUCUUAUGUCCUACGGAAUCGAAAAUCUAUCCUACGGAAUCGAGAUUAUGAAAGUCCUUAAGUAUAAGGGAAGCCUAUCGAUAAAGUUGGUCAUUCCUACGGGGGCUUCAAGGAAAAGCUAGCGGCAUAAGCAGUUCUGAGAGAAAAUCCCGAGUAUUACUCUUUAAAUAGAUGAUAAAAGAAAAAAUGAAAUUGUUAUUUGACAGAUUGAGAGUUAAUCACACUAGAAAUGAUAUAUAUUACACAGGUAAUGGUGGAAUGCUGCCGGAAAGCUAUCGUUUCGGAAAAAAGGAUACGUUCUCUAAGCGUAGAGGUCUGAAUUUGCGAAGGUCAAUUCCUAAGCCAAUCCAGCCUUUGACUUAUACUCCCCCCACAAAUAAUCCGAAUUCUCAUGUAAAUAAGGAUGAAUUGCUUAAUAGUUUUCCUAUUUUAAGUCUACCUGUGAAUAGUUUCCCUCUUACUGAUUUAAAAGAAAGUCUGAUUGUUGAACAACUUAAAGUUCAAUCAGCUAAAGAUGCUAUUCUGGCGUUAUAUUUCCGUUUUUUUCCAGAGCAUACUCGUUUCCAAAGAUAUGAAUUUAUAAUGAGCAAUUCAGCGAAGAAAAUGUUAAUGUAUGUCUUUCAAUCUCUCGGGUUAUCAAAAAUGUUACGUUUUUCAACCCCAGAUUUGUUUGAAAAUACCAGGUUCAAGGGUGGGUUGCACCAUUGCUNUUCUCACCAGGCCCCGUAUAAAAAAGUAAUAGAAUUUAUAACAUAUUAUAAAGGUAUGUAUGGGCGCUUAAUCAUAUUUGUUAGCUUAGGGAUUGGUUGUAAUGUCUGGUACAACUUUAUACCUGGAGUACCAGAAGUAGCACCUCCAGGAAUCUUAGUACCGAGAGAGCUUCCGUAUGAUUCUUUCAAGGAUGUUUCAUUUGAUAUAGCCCCCUUUAUGAAAAUGAGUUAUGUGGAGUAUAAGUAUAUAUCAGAUCAAGUGUUAUCCGCCUUUGAUAAUGUCUAUCCGUUCAAUGAAAUCCAUCUUCCUAGUGGUAACACUGCUGAAGGUAGCAAUGCUAGGGUGGCCCUUGGUUUAGGGAUCAUAGUAGCAGCCUUUCUCGGAAUGGGUAUGAUGUCAUAUUCAUCUCCUCCUGAUUUAGAAUUAAUAAGUACUUUGAAAGUUCAAGAAUUACAAGAAAUAAUAGUAAAAAGAUGAAAAACAAACAAGAAACAAUUCAAUCCAAAUCUUCUUAUAAGUUGACUAUGAUAUGUGCAAGAUCUUCUUAUUAUUCUACAAUUUCUAGUUCGCUAGUUCAGCUAUCAGAGGAUAUUGAUUUUCUGUAUAAUGAUUUAAAAAGCACUCAGAAAUAUAAUCUAUCUAAGAAAGAGUUAUGUAAUCUUCAACAGAUAUUGCUUUCAGGUUUUUACACUCUAUCUCCGCUAAGGCUCAGGAGAAUAAGUAGGGAUGAUCUACUAGAAUUUUUAUUUGCAACGCUACCUGAUUUUCCUGACUUAACGUUUUAUCCAAGCAGAGAUAGUUCACACUAUAUAGUUGUUUUUCCAUCAAAAAAAGAGGAUGUCUUGGUGUUCAUGGCAUUGAGUAUCCAUUUCUAUCGUUUGACUUAUGGUUAUGUGCCCAAGGAGAAUUACAGAUUAUUAGAUAGGUUAGGUCUCUUUUAUUCUGGUAUUCAAAACAUGGGUAAGGUGAGUAGACUGUACCAGAUUAACAUGGAUCCAUCAUUACAACUGAUUCCUGAGAGUCUGGUUUUAGAUGGUGUUAAGUCCUUUGUUGGGGCAGAUUCGGUUUGUUAUAAGCUGGUUAGUAGCUUUCUAAAUCUCGAGACCUUUGAUGAGGAUGGUAGAAAGAUAUGCUUCGGUUGUAUGCCAAUUGUUGGAGAAAUCAAUAGGGUCUUAUUCAAUCUUACCUUAAUGGAGUUCGACCGGCAGUUCAGCCAUAAAUAUCCAGGGAUUGCAUUUGAAAGAUUCAUAGGUAUGGUCUUUAUAGCAUGUACUGAUGAUCUAAGAAUCGAUGAAUAUCAAGUAUUUGAUAUGAUACAAGAUCUCGGGCUGUCUUGUUCAAUCGAGUAUAAAGAACCAGGGCUAGAGCCUCUCUAUUGUCGCAAUAGGAUGGUUGCUCUGGACUAUGAGGGUAAGGUUGUCGUGUACAAUCCUACAGAUUACUAUCCUACAGAUUAUGGUUAGUAGGGAGGUUGACAACAAUUUAAGAUAGGGAAAAAACAUGCCGGUGCAUUUCCAUAGUUUAUUUACUAGCAGGAGAGAGGAAGAGUCGCUAUCUAUCUAUCCAUAUACGUAUCAACAAAUGUGGAUCGGUCGAUUGCCCCUAACCAGCAGCGGCAAGGAGGAGAAGACUCUAGAGGUUUGUCCCAAGUCAUGCGAACACUCGCUGUAAUCAUGCCCUACCCGAUGACAACUCAAGAUUGGCAAGCAUGUCCAUCCGACUACUCAUGGAAGCUUUGAACUUCUCCAUGCGAAGUGGGUCUCCUUCACUUUACUAGAAGUUUUUUGAUGCACGAGGAAUUCUCUGAGAAAGGAUUGGUAAGUAAGCAUUCAGUGUGAUUGGGGAUAGGUUGGCACUGAGAAUCGUCCCUUACCAGUGCUAUCAAGAAUAAGGAUCUUCUAUGAGAAAUCCAUGAGAGUGACUGCCAACAUGAAUGAGUAGUACGAUCAACUGUUCUUCUGAGAAGUGGGCAACUCAUGGAGUUUAGGGAUUGCAUGCUUGGGAUUACAACGAGAUAUCAGGACUUUUAUGCAGUUCAUUGAGUCUCCACUUUCUUGUACUAGCUGACUAAAGGCGAGCUACUUUUGAAUUCUCUAAUUAACUAAGCUCUAUCCAUAGAUAGUGUUCCCCACUGUAAAGAAAUGCUAGCCCAUGAAUGAGGAUCUAUUUCCUUGGAGUCUUUGCCUUUAAUAGUUUAUAAUAUGAUCUUACCAAUUUGAAAGCGAGCUAGCGAAGUACCUCUUAGGAAAGCAGGUUAUAACAAGCCAGUUGAAAAGUAUUCUCUUGGGCUGUUUCCCUAGGAAGGAAUAUUGAUAACAGCUGGUGUUUUUCCUGCAAGUUUGAAUGCCAUUAAGAAUUCCCCAGUGCUUAUGCACCAUCUAAAAGUCUCAGCUCCCUGUAUAGUAAAACUAUUAAGGUUACUUCUUUAAUAAGCUUUUUCAAAUUGUAUAAUAGCUAACCAACCGCUUAAAGCGGACUGCAACUGUACUUAUUAGCUUUCCUCCAACGACACUACAGAUGGAAUAGCUUCCCAGGCAUUAGAGGAUAAGCUUGAAUUAGAUUCAAUUAAUAGGGCAUUUGCCCCCUCACUUGAAUAAGCGGCAACCCCUUAGUGGCACAAGCCUCCUUUCUGGAGCUGUAAAGGAACUUCAUUCCCAUCUAUUCGGCUCCUACCCGCUCCGACCAGGGGUUACCAAUUCCUUAUCAAUGGCUUUCUUACAAGAAAAUGUUAUAUCAUGGGCUUGAGGUAUCACCAUAUAGAUUUCCCUAUUUGGUACACAUAGCUUUUCCUAUCUCUCUUUUUAGCAUUCCUUCUCUAUAGCCUGUGUCUAUCUUCUGUCAAUUCAUAUUCUCUAUCUGGUCUAAUCGGCUAAGUCUUCUAUCUCUUUCGAUGUAGUCGAUGUCGGACUAGGAAAGCCAGUAAGGUCAAGUGUAUUGAAGUUCUAACAAUUCACUUACUAAGGAGCAUAACAAGCAAAAUCUAAGGAGCUAUAGUGUUGUUUUAGUUUCAUCCUUAGAUUCUUUCUUUUUAGCAUUCCUUAUUAAUCCUUUUUUAGGGAGAUGUUGAGACUUUCAGGCUAGUAACAAAGUACCUUUCUAGGUGUAAGGAUGCAGGUAAGAGAAUCAAUCUUAGCUGCUGUACAUGUAGUAGCAGCAUCCAGUCUAGCCUUGGUCUAAUUCCUACUUAAAGGAGGGGUCUUAUUCACUGUAUGCGCAUUCCCUGUAUUCUAUGUCCGACUAUUCCACCUGAACCAUAUUAGUCAAGGGAGUAGGGCAGUCUUAGUGAAAUUACCCUGGGGAAGAUCUUAUUAGCUCCUAUUGAUUCUAGGUUAUAUGCCGACAGUUCUAUUGACAGCGUAGGAUUUGACGAUCGUAGUAUGAUUGAUUCCCGACCGGGGAAGACUUCUUAUAUAAUAGAAGGGAAAGCAAGCUAAUUCCAAUGAUUCGAGAUCUGGAUAAUGCAUUGAGCAAAGCUGCUGAAAUAGGACCGCUUGUCAGCCUACUCCUCCAUUUAUAGAUUUCUAUUCUAUAAUAGAAGAAAUAAAGCCUCGAGCUAUUAAUUACUAUGAGAGCUAAGCUACUCUUUUUGCUUAAGAAAGAUGGUCAUAAAACGAGAUCUUUCAUCAGCUAGGCCUGACCUGGUGACAUACUCCAGAUGAGUGGCCAAUCCCUGGAAGAUCCUGAUUCUGAUUCAGUAGUAUGCCAUAUUGGAAUGAAAGGAAAGUAAGCUGCUUCACGACCCUUUCACUUUAUUAGCUUUUAGGCCAUGCAGAAGGAGCUAGCUCGACCAUUUACUGAGCUCUUUUCGAAAUGGUAAGACUUUCCUGCUAUAUGAGAAUGAACUCAUUUCAAAUGCUUCGCCUCUCUCCCAUUGUUCCUUCCUCCUUCGUGCCCGAUCCGGUCAGUAGGCGUCAGUGAAGUGAAUGCUGUAUGCUAAGAGGGGAAAUGCCGACAUCUAGCACAUAGAAGAGCGGAUUCGCUUCCUAUUCCGAUGAGAUGUCAGUUCCUUUCGUGCAACCUGCUCUUGCAUAUGCCUCUUAUUCCUCGUACAAAAAACCUAUUUCAUUGCCUGAAUGGCACCGGCUCGAUAAGGCAGAUCUGUGGGAAGACGUCGAAGCGGGUUUAGAAUCCGCCCCGGGGGAAAUAAUAGGUCAAUCAGGUUCAUCCCUCUUGCCAAUACUAGUAGUCUUAGAAGGAGUUGCAACCUAAAGGGCUAUUCCUGAUCUUUCCUGUGAUUCAAUCGAUUCCUAAGAACUUACCUCUCGCAAGGAACAUCACUUUCGUAUAGUUGAAAAACUCCCUUUUAUUUCAAAAUUGAAUUCGUAACCACUGCUAUCUCAUGGAAUAGGAAUAAGCGCCGCUAGUCUUUCUUUUCUUUUACAGACUCCGAAAUUUACUUCUUUCCAAAGGCUUGGCUAGCUGGAAGGCAAGAGCGCUAUAAGAGGUCUUGAGGGUCGAAGGAUGAAGGUCCGAGGCUACUGGUGGCCAAGCUUCUAAGUACUUAGCCAACGGAUACGAAUUCGAAAAAACGGUCAAUCUCCGAAAGGCCUUUGCAGAGCUUUAGGGGGAAUACUUUUGUGGUCUUUCACCUUCUUCCUUUUGACUGGCCAAUAUCUUUGAAUCAGGGCUUUCGCUAUUCCCACAGUCCCUUAGUCCCGUCGGUCUAUCUCAUAUUCGCAGAAGAAGGAACUUGCUUAAUGCCAUGCCGGAAGUGUAAUUAAGUAGGCGGUUGGUCGUAUAAAAGUCUUUGAAGUAAGGUUCAAUGCUAGGUUCAAUGCUUAGCGUUUAGUUAGGAUAUUUUUCAUACGAGUAUGCCCUUAUCCCGUAAGCCUGCCAUCGUUGGAAGCCCCUUCCAUUCGGCCCAAGCUUUCUUUCGAUUACGUCUGCUUCCUAAAAACCUUAGUUAGUCGUUUAGUCAAAGCCGUACGUAUGCCCCUUUCGAAUCGUUCUAUCAUUCGAAGUAGGAGCAGGGGUAGCGGGCAGAGAAUGGUAUAGCGAGUUCAUGUGCUUGCAGUUGGUUUACUACCAUCCCCCUAACCUUUAGUCUCUGUGAAGUGUCUCUCAGGUAUUGGGAGAACAUCAUGCCCCUUAGCUCGCUUGUAUCGGAUCAAGGGGGGAGCUUACUUCACUUGUUUUCUUUAAGUAACAUGCCAGGAAAGCAGCUGAUAAAGAGCGCCAUCACCUUACUUAAGAAAGGGCUUAUGCGAAAGAGAGCACCGCUUACCCGAGAAGAGAAUCCGCUUUCCUUGUUUUUUUGCUUAUUCCUAGCCAGAGAAAUGAAACUAAUCUCGAGAUCCAGAAACCUAUCUAUACGCCUAGCAUUAAGCUAAAGAAAUAUCGUUAGCCCUACUACUUUUAUUGAAAGGAAGAACUUAGGACUUUGGGACUUACCCUAGCAUUCCAAUUGAAACUCAAGGAGAUGGAACUAAACUGGCAAUUUUCCUCUUUCUAGGUGACUAGAGGGAAUGCUACUACAGAUACAGCAACUCAAUCCCGAGAGAAAAGAUUUGUGAGGUAAGGUCUAUAGACUGUAAGGCUGAAGGCUUGAAUGGAAGAGCACUCCUACUUACUUUUGGGAUAAAUCCUAGACACCUUUGACACCUGAUCUCCGGUAGGACUCUUAUUUGAUAGGCAUUAGGGGAUUUUAGGUUUUGGGGUUUCACUUGCAGACCCUGCAUCCAUAAGUCUCCUAUCCUAAGUGUCUUUCUCUGCAUGAAUAAAGUUCUUCGACAGGACCAUCCCGACCGAGGGCUAAUCAUAGAUCUACUAUGGUAUUUUCUUCUUUUCUUGGUUCAAAUCCUUUUCAGGAAGCAUUAUAUUGAGUAACUCCAAGAGUAGAAUCAGCAGCUCACCUCACGUUUUAGGAAGAAAAUGAGGAAUCACACGUAGACGGACCUGAGCAUUCUCCUGCUCUACGGAGCUAGAGUUGGGGCUGCUUGACGCUCUUUUGAUCAAAUGGAAGGAUGGAUGCCAGCCUUUAGCAACUUCGUUCGGUACAUUCCUUCUACCCAGCUCUAUAGAUGAGAGACUACCAAACUUAGAAAGAGGGGUCCCUAGUAUGUGAUUGAGUCAAGUUGUCCAGUGCUUCUGCUGAGAGAAAGAGAGUCUAUUGACUGGCCUACCUACGCCCGUACACAUCCGCAGUUCUUCUCCCAGCGCUGUAAUUUUUUUUGAGCUAGAUCCGGAAAUUGAAAUAGGCUAGAGCUCCCUGUCCUUUUUUCUAAGGCUUUUUUGAUCGAACUAGGAAUCAUACAUUAGCUGAAUGACUCGACAACCAGGUAUUUCACUAACAUGCACAUAAGCUACCUAUAUUCUAUAUAACAUCCCAUCUCGUUUCAUUGCCCCUGCAUCCCGAAAAGAUAGACUUCCUACUGGAUGUCAUACUAACUUGCAAGCUGUCAGCCUAGAGGGGAGGGCUCAUAAGUCAACUAGCAGAGGGUGAAGGUGUACACUGCUGGUAAACCCUCUCUCUUUCUUCUCUAGGAUCGAAGCUCAACUUGAAUGAAAAGGGUAUAGCUUCAAGCUUUUACCAGGUAAUCAUUCCUUCUUAGAAGAGUUUAAGCGCACUGGAUCUCAACUCCUACACUGUCUCGCACAAAGAUGUACUCCAUCCAACUGAGCCAAUAGAAGCGGUUAGAGCCGUUGGCUGAUAAUGGAGCAGGGAACAGUCAUCACGAAAAGGUAUCGAACAGUGGAAAUACCUAUCGGAGCACACUUUAGUAUGAGUACUUGUCGCGAACUGGAUUCGAACCAGCACCUCUGGGAGCAAAAGACAGGCCCAGCGAACUACCAUUCAUUCUGAUCGCGACUUUGUUUACCCGGUUCCCCUCGCGGCUAAAGGGUACAUCCGGGGCCGGUCGCAUGGACCUACUUACCUUGCUUGUAGACCAGCUGCAGAGCUAACCCUUGUUCUAUUGGUUUGAUGCUACCAAGACGAUUUCUUUAUGCCCAUCAAAGGACCUCGAGAUGCUAAUCCACGAAAAACGAGACGAGAAAUUCGAAAGAAAAGAACUGAUAUACGGAACGAGGGCGACCCGUGGAAAUACAUCGGUUUCUUACUAGUGCAAAGGAACUCUUUCUUGGCAACUUGGACAACUUCUAACGAUGUUUGUCCCGCAUAUCACUAGAUCGAUCGGUAUCUUUACAAAUUUCUAAAGCUUUCGUCUCAAUUCAUACUUAGCCGCGAGCAAUCUACGUUUGUGAUCUCGUAUAUUUUGCUUCUCCGACAUCUUACUGACUUUCCCCCUCAUCUUUUUGAAAAAAGCCGCUCCACGGUGGUAAAGUCUCAUCUUGUGUGUUGGCCGAAGUUACAAUAGUGACAUUGAACCCUCGAAUAUGUUCGAAGAUCUCGAAAUGAUCUUCCAGUUCCGGGGAGAAUUCGCAAAACUCCAUUUCCAUCAAGAAUUGAAUGGACUUUUCCCGUAUUUCGACCGGAAAAUCUAACAGAGACAUUACUGCGGAGAUUCUUACCAAAAAAUGAGACAUUCCAUGCCCUCGGAGAGUGCUUUGCCGUGCUAGGUCACUGACAUAUCCUUUUUUGUCUUGAUUUUUUCCCAAGAAUGGAUUGGAUCGAAACUCCUUUCCUGUCGAAGCCCUUUGUGUCUGUAUUAAUUUCUGACCGCACGGAAUCUCCAUAGCCAAUUUUCCAUUUUUUAUUAUGAAAUCAGAGGGUGCUGCCUUUGGUACUACUCUUAUUUUACACGAUCCAGGAACUUCCAUAACGUUGGCGUGAUUCGGUUUGAGCAACGGAUCCUGACGUGAUACAUCUUCGUAAUGAAAAUUGAGUGUAAACAUUCUUUUUUUUUCUUUCCCAGUAUCGAUAGAAUGAGCACUGUGAACUAUCUGCUUCAAAAAAGAUAGUUGUAAAAACAUCAGAGCAAUAUAUCGUAGUGUAGAACAGAUUUUCAGUAAUGGGGAUCACAUUAGUAGGAAUAUAGGCCAGUCUCCAGCUUCUAUCCUUUUCAUUUUUGUAGUGAAAGCAAUAACAAUAGGAUUUCAAUGAUCUUCUUUACUUAGGUUUUAUACUGACAUAUCAAUUUUUUUUCUGCUAGCAUAUCAUCCGCAAAGACAUUCCUCAAGCAUAGAAUAUCAGGAUUUGAGCCCUUGAACUGACUUCUCGAACCCUUACAUUCUAGAAACUCUGAUGGCAGUGAUUCAACCAUCAUUGAACAGCUUUGAACCAGUUUGACAUUCGAUGAAGACCGAGCCAGACAUUGGAUGCUGCCCUAGCUGCAAGAACUCAAUUAGCCUUGAAUAUCAUAUGAUGAGACGUUCUGACUGCAUCAAAAAAUACUAGAAGAAAAAAACCAACACACUCCGCCAGCAUCAACCUAAGUGUGGAAGGCGCCAUUACCCUGGACCCAGCAGUUCUUAGACGACCACCUCCAUCCUUGAGAGGAUUCCCAGCAUAUCCGGGAACUCUCGAUGGAGACAGGCAUUGAAUUAGAGCCAACUCGGCCAAAUUCGUGGAUUUUCUAUGGAGAAGCAGUGGUUCAUGGAUGAAUUUAAGGCCACACCCAUGUGACAUACUUCCAUUUACACGAGGAGUAUUUUCUAUAUAAAAAAUCCCAUGUCCGAUAGUGCCUUUACCCUAGUCAGAAUAAGAAAAAAGGAUCCCUCUAGUAUAAUCACUAGAGACAGGCGCUAGUUAUUCUCCCGGCUGAGUAUAUUUAUCUACGACAUUUGGCGUAAGAUUCUACUCUUUUCAAUGACAAAUUGUCUAUGCUACUUGAAAGGGAGAACCUGUGGCUGGAUUGAAUCCAAUGCCCCGCAAACCUAAGGGUUCCUCCCUCAUAGCACAGUCCUAUGGCUUCUUAGAGAAGGGUAAAGGCACUCAUAGCAAGAUGAAAAACAGCAAACAGAAGACUCUAAUCACUGGAAGGAAGCUAGGCAAGAGCCAUUCAAAGCUUCGAGUUACCUCAGCUUGAGAGCGCUAGAUAGAAGGAGUUCAAAUGCAUUCGAUCCCCUAUAUAGAUCCAAAAGAGAAGACGCAAAGAUGCUCUUAUCAUCUGUACCGCCUUUUGCAUCUUCCUUGAAGGUUCUAGCAGAUGAAGACGGAAGACAUCGAUCUAGUUAUCUUUGUCUCUAUCCUCUUUCUAAAGAUAGAUAAGCAAGGUUUUUCUCACUACUGGCAAGAAGCCUUAAGAGAAGAAGCUCUUUCUAGUGGAAGAGGCUGGGCAAGCACAUCAAAGGCUGGGUUUUUAGUAGUUCAGGGUAGCCGAGAGCCCAGUAGAGAACUUUUAUCUGACUAGGAGCAGCUAAGCCCCUACCUAUAUAGUCAAGAGGGAUGGAGCCCCGAAAGAAGUAAGGCUAGUCGAUUUCCAAGAUUUUAGUAGCUCAGGAAAGGUUCCCGAGAUUGGAGUGGGUCUAUUAGCACUGGGACAGACCAGUUAGAAGAAUCCUUAUGAGGCUCAAAGAUCUUGAAAAAAAAAGAACGAGUGAGGACGUGUCCAAUCUGAACCAAGCUCAAAGCUAAAAAAGAAUAAGGAAACACACUCUUUGUCGGAACAAGGAAGAACUGUUGACGUCAAACCAGCUUUUCCGCUCUUUCCCUCUCUUCUUUAGGGAUUAGGGUGGUGUGCUCUUCUGAGUGGGUGUGUGUUGUGCCAGAAGGCAUGCGUAUAGUAUAGAAAGAUUCUCAUCCAAGGACACCGGAAUAAGGGUUUAAUGACCUAAGUCUGGCUGCUAGAGAUGAAUCGAUGUACUUACCUUACCAGCCUCAUACAUCUUCCCUGGUCCCUGCUCAUUGCAAGGAGGAACGAAGGACUUUUGAUGCUGUCCCAGAGCCGGCUUGGAGGGAUCCCGAUAUCGAUAUGCUCUGCCGGAAUAUACAGAUAAAAUAUGGAUCGGAUCAUGGCCCGGAUACACUCGUCCCUUCUUUCUCCGUCUAGAUGCCCAGAGAGGAUGAAACAAAAAAGGUUGAGAUUCGCCGUUCAUUGUCUCGGUUCGGCUCAGACUGGUCUGACUUCGGGGUUGGGAGAGAUCGGAAAUAAGCUGCCGUAGGCUUGGAUGGAGCUAUUUAUGGUGAAGAGGAAUGAGAUGAAAGUGUUCUGCAUGGUUGUUCCGCACUUUUGUCUAAUUCAGUUCCAUCAGGGGUUCUUUUGUUAAUUUGAUGCAGAUUCGUAACCAUUGGUUCCAGGGAAAGAGGGAUCACUAGCGGAGGUAGGCUCGCACUUAGAUGUUCAAUACCCGCUGUGCCCCAACCAAAUUCAGGUGAAUGAGCUGGUCGUUUCUUGGUUUUCCCCAUCCUAUGAGUCAAGAUUGGAGGGGAUCUACCUAUUGAAGAUGCAACUUCUCCGGAUGGUGGUUCUUCCCCGCUAGAAUGGGAUUUGUCGGUGCUAGGUGGAAUCCUUUGAUUGAAGGUCAAGAAAUGAAUACAAUUGAGGUGUGGAUUCAAGUAGUUAGUUCGCACUAGCUCGUACCACCUUGAAUUGCAGUCGGCCUUGAAGGCUAGUAACUAGGAUCAAGGACUAGGAAGGGAAGCUCUUCUUGUCCAACCGGUCGGGUUGCAGGACUGGUUGUUAGCGGAGAAGCCCAGGGAGAAAGAUAGCUUAUUAGAGCAUUGGAGGUCGACGAAUUCGUCUAUCAGGCAAUCUAUCCUUAGCCUAAAGGCCCGUUAAAGCUCUAAGGUGCAGUGUGACCGGAGCGGUUGUAGAGUUUUGAAAUGGGAUUAGAGGCGACGCCUGAGUAUGAGGAGAUCGCACUGGAUAUGGCUACUCUUUACGGCAAAGGGGGCAUUGUCCAUAAGAUAAGAUAAGACUGCCUAGAACUUCCUAUUAUUGCUUCUAAGUGAAAGGUUUCCAGCAACAAUAUACUGAAUACAUUCAGACUCAUUACCUUUCUUAGGUCUCAUUGAGACUCCCUUUUAGAAAGAGAAAUGAACAAGAACUUAACUCAUCCGGAAACGUGAUUCUAUAUCCUGUAAGCAUCUGACAAGAUCAAAAACCCUUUAUCCUCUCGACGAGUGUCAGCUCCUUCCAGGUACGCUGGUUGGCUAGUGUUAUGAAAUAAAGAAGUCAAAGUAGAGCAAGUCCCACCUACCAGGUUAGCGGAGAGUGACUCACCUACCUGUUCUGAAGGAGGACUUACACGAGUAGUGGAAAGUACGAUGCUAGGCGUGGAAGAGCUUUUUGUAUGCCUUCUGAGAUAAGAGCCUUCACAGCGGAGGUGAAAGCAAGAUAGAAUCGGGCUUGAUUCCCCUUCUAUGGGACAGUAGACAGGCUAGCUACUGGUGAGAAGCGAUCUAUCAAUCCCUUCUCUUUAGGGCUUGGUAUUGGAAAAGACCUCCUCUCAGAAUUCUUCAUGCGGCUAUGGCAGAUAACGGGCACUCUCAAUCCAAUAAGAAAAGUUCUAAAGCUCUUCGCCAUACCUCUAUCUCCAACAGACAUUCAUUAUGGCAAGGCGUACUGAUUCGAUCACUUCCUGUAAAGACUUUCCUGUUCUUAUGAAAGACAGCCGUAUGUUAGGAAGAAUUCAAUCUCAAGCUCAAGACUUUACAAGGGGAAGGUAGCUGGUAAGCCCUUUUAGUCGAUCUAGGCAUAACACUUUCACCACUCUUAGGCAAGCGACUAAAGCAAGCCGAAAUGUGCCGUUCAUUCUAGUAGCUUAGACCUUUGUUGAGCCUCCUUACCUUAGAAGGACAGUCAAAAGCCGGUGCGUUGGUUAACGGCUUCCGAAGUGACUAAUCGUAGCCAACUUAUUCAAGAUCUAUACUUUCUCUUAUUAGAAAGAAUAUGUAUAUUAUUGCGGAGAUGAAAGAAGUAGACGAAAAACUAGAGAUGAGAGAAGCGAGCCCUGAAAGAGAAGGAGAGGAAGGAAACUAAGGGCUAACCCGACACCAACCCAAUAGAGCUAGCCAGCAAGCUCAGGCUAAGAGAUGGGUCAAUCUCCAUGCCCUUAUCUUCUUCAAGCCCUUAAGGCUAAGAAGUCAACUAGCGGUCUAGGAAGGCUAAGAAGGCAACUAGCUGCUUAGCCGAACUCCUCACCUGGGGUGACGAUAUUCUGAUUCAAGCUCUGAACCAAAGCUAAUUCUUUUCUUCCUUUAAGCGUCAAACUUCAUAUUUGAAGGCUUUUCCACUGCAAAAAAAAAACACUUGAAUUAGAUCUACGAAAUGAUCGACUCAAAUAGAUGGUCAUCAUAAUCUCUUUCUUUUCCUCCUCUUCCAGUUCUAUUAAUCAAAAGGCCAUCAUGGACCAAGAUCCAAAGGGAUCAAUCUUUUACACCGAUGUAUCAUACUCUCUCGACCAGGUUAUCAUAAGAAAAGACUGCAAAAUCUUUCCGAAGUGUUAUAAAGAGGGAAGGCGCGCUACAACUAACAUAACAACCUCUUCCUUGCCCCCCUAAGAAUCCAAGGGUGACCUUUGGAUGUUGUCGUGACGCUUUGGUUACGAAGGUUAUCGGGGUCUAGGUUUAUGGAUGGAUUCCGUAAUCGAAAGUCCCUCCAACUCAAUCAAUAUCAACAACAUGUCGUGACCGGUUAGGCUUGGUUGAUUUUGUCAGAAAAGAAAGUAGGUUUCGGGGGUUCAUUGAUUAGUACACCCCCGGUGCUGGUAAGGUCGGGACCGUGGUCGUACGUCUCCGGUUUGCCGGCCUAUCUUCUUUCUGAGAUUGACCAGCCAGCUGGGUUGGUUUGGCUAUUCUUUUCUAUUGAAAAGGAGUCAGUUGUCUGCGCGAGUCAUCUUCUUCUAGGCUCCGUUGGACGACACGGCAUUCUUGUUUCAAUAAAUAGAUGUCGGCCGUACUUGUGAUGGUUCCCAAGGAUCCAAUAUGACCACUUCACUUAGGUCUACGUUGCCACGAUAUUUUUCUAUGGAAGCGGGCAGGCUGUUAGAAGUUCGGCCCGCUUUUUUUUUUGUCGUAGGGGAGGGA